rnacentral:rRNA from 1 species
UACGGGGGGGGCAAGCGUUGUUCGGAAUUACUGGGCGUAAAGGGCUCGUAGGUGGCCAACUAAGUCAGACGUGAAAUCCCUCGGCUUAACCGGGGAACUGCGUCUGAUACUGGAUGGCUUGAGUUCGGGAGAGGGAUGCGGAAUUCCAGGUGUAGCGGUGAAAUGCGUAGAUAUCAGGAGGAACACCGGUGGCGAAGGCGGGACUCUGGGCCGAUACUGACGCUGAGGAGCGAAAGCGUGGGGAGCGAACAGG